AACGAACGCUGGCGGCAGGCUUAACACAUGCAAGUCGAACGCCCCGCAAGGGGAGUGGCAGACGGGUGAGUAACGCGUGGGAAUCUACCGUACCCUACGGAACAACUCCGGGAAACUGGAGCUAAUACCGUAUACGCCCUACGGGGGAAAGAUUUAUCGGGGUAUGAUGAGCCCGCGUUGGAUUAGCUAGUUGGUGGGGUAAAGGCCUACCAAGGCGACGAUCCAUAGCUGGUCUGAGAGGAUGAUCAGCCACAUUGGGUCUGAGACACGGCCCAAACUCCUACGGGAGGCAGCAGUGGGGAAUAUUGGACAAUGGGCGCAAACCUGAUCCGGCCAUGCCGCGUGAGUGAUGAAGGUCUUAGGAUUGUAAAGCUCUUUCACCGAUGAAGAUAAUGACGGUAGUCGGAGAAGAAGCCCCGGCUAACUUCGUGCCAGCCGCCGCGGUAAUAC
rnacentral:rRNA from 1 species